UAGAGUACAAGUCUAGAUAGAAAAAGAAAAACUUUUCCUGUCUGCCUAAGAAGUUCAUUCUCUGGAGAAGUUCCAGGCUGGGGAACACCAGGUCUAAGAGAAGAUAGGGCCAAGGUGCUGCAUGAAAAACAAGGAGAUUAAGGGAAAUUCUGCUUGAUCUGUCUCUUGCCUGUCCUGCUGUUCCAUUUUGCAGUAUCUUAUGAGAUUCCUAAGAGUAUCCUGGACACAUUGAAGAGAAGGGUGAGCCUUACUCAUUUCCAGUGAGAGAAAUGAGUGAAAUGGGUCUGAUUUACAUCACAGCCUUCUGUGGUGAAGUUGGUUUUCCUACUGUGACCUGUGCACUCCGGUCUACCAGCCUGACACUACACGCCAUCUGCUGGUUCCAAACUAUAUAGCUCCAGAGUAACUGCUGACGCUGUUGGGGAACAGAGGACCUGGCCUCCUGAAGAAGCACCAACAGGCCCUCUGCUUCAAGUUGUAGGUGUGAACAAAUCCAGACCACUAAGAGUGGAAACUGGAAGAAAUGAGGUAGUUCCAAAUGAGUGUCCCCUGAAAUCUUCAGGUCUGCACAUACCACAACCAUCAAGCACAAGCAGACCAAAACAGCAUCAGAAAGGGCCGCCCACUUGGGCUCCUGUAAGCCUUCACGUCUGAGUUCAUGUGGCUCUCACUCAGAAACGGAAGUGGAAAACCAAAUAAAGUCAACUCCACGGAGGUCCUGGGACUUAACACUGAGCAGCCACACGAAUACCAGAGUGAUGCAUCAUGAUUCAUGUUAUUACAAUAAAUGCCUAAG
rnacentral:lncRNA from 1 species